AGCAGCCGCGGUAAUUCCAGCUCCAAUAGCGUAUAUUAAAGUUGUUGCAGUUAAAAAGCUCGUAGUUGAAUUUCGGGGUCAGUAGGUUGGUCGUGCCACUGGUAUGCACUGGUCUCACUGAUUCCUCCUUCCUGAUGAGCCGUAAUGCCAUUAAUUUGGUGUUGCGGGGAAUCUGGACUGUUACUUUGAAAAAUUAGAGUGUUUAAAGCAGGCUAACGCUUGAAUACAUUAGCAUGGAAUAAUGAAAUAGGACGAUCGGUCCUAUUUUGUUGGUUUCUAGGAUUGACGUAAUGAUUAAUAGGGAUAGUUGGGGGCAUUAGUAUUCAAUUGUCAGAGGUGAAAUUCUUGGAUUUAUUGAAGACUAACUACUGCGAAAGCAUUUGCCA
rnacentral:rRNA from 1 species